rnacentral:rRNA from 1 species
AGAGCGAACGCUGGCGGCAGGCUUAACACAUGCAAGUCGAGCGCCCCGCAAGGGGAGCGGCAGACGGGAGAGUAACACGUGGGAACGUACCUUUCGGUUCGGAACAACCCAGGGAAACUUGGGCUAAUACCGGAUACGUCCGUAAGGAGAAAGAUUUAUCGCCGAAAGAUCGGCCCGCGUCUGAUUAGCUAGUUGGUGAGGUAACGGCUCACCAAGGCGACGAUCAGUAGCUGGUCUGAGAGGAUGAUCAGCCUCACUGGGACUGAGACACGGCCCAGACUCCUACGGGAGGCAGCAGUGGGGAAUAUUGGACAAUGGGGGAAACCCUGAUCCAGCCAUGCCGCGUGCGGGAAGAAGGCCUCGGUUGUAACCGCUUUGGUCGGAAAGAAAGGCGCCACCUAAUACGGGCGUUCUUGACGGUACCGGCAGAAUAAGCACCGGCUAACUACGCGCCAGCAGCCGC